rnacentral:rRNA from 1 species
GCGCUCUGCGUCGCCCCGACCGUUUCCACAUCAGCCAUGUAGAGUGUCGAAAGCGUCUGCGCUUGCGCAACCGAAAAACAACUUUUAACAACGGAUCUCUUGGUUCUCGCAUCGAUGAAGAACGCAGCGAAAUGCGAUAAGUAAUGUGAAUUGCAGAAUUCAGUGAAUCAUCGAAUCUUUGAACGCACCUUGCGCUCCUUGGUAUUCCGAGGAGCAUGCCCGUUUGAGUAUCUCGAUAUCAUCAGGCGCCCGUGCCCUUGCGGCCGGUGCGACUGGACUUGGACGUGCUGCCGGGCCUUUGCCGCCCGGCUCGUCUUAAAUGCAUUAGCGAGAGACGCUAGCCUCUGCCGGCUCUCAUUGGCGUGAUAAGGUCACACCCGUCGAGAGUCCCCGGUCACGAGCUUGCGACCCUUCCGCUUCCAACCGUCCCCCCCGGGACAACAGCGGACCUUUGCGUCUGACAUCUGACCUCAAAUCGGGUAGGACUACCCGCUGAACUUAAGCAUAUCAAUAAGCGGAGGAAAAGAAACUAACGAGGAUUCCCCUAGUAACGGCGAGUGAAGCGGGAAAAGCUCAAGUUUAAAAUCUGGCGGUCUUUGGCCGUCCGAGUUGUAGCCUAGAGAAGCGUCUUCCGCGC